GCGCCUGGGCCCGGCAGGUCCUGGGGAGCGCUGGGCGCCUGGGUGGGAGCCCCGCGGCCGGCCUCCCCCCCGCAAUGACUGCGGGAACCGCGCUGGAGGGGUGGCAGGCAGCAGGCAGCGGGGGAAGCGCUCCGUCGGGCGGGCCGAGAAGGAACGGAGCGUCCUGCACACUGAAGGAGUUGCACGGGAGGGGGCGCAGAGGCGGGAGUGACACCUGGACACCGGAGGGCCAAAGCGCGAAGGCCGUUGCUGCGAGAGAGGAAUCCACGGUGGGACGCGCGACCCAGCACGGGAAUGAUGGGCGCACGAGGGUGGUUCCGGCUUCAGGAGACCCUAGACGGGCUGCAGGCCGGGACCCAGGUGUGAGAGAAGCGGGAGUCUGGACUCCUAGGUUCUUGGUGGGUUCUGGAAGGACAGGGCUGGCUGGAGCAGGCGCUGGAUGGAGCAGGAUUAGCUGGAGACCGGGAAUUCGGGCAGUUAAGUUUAAGACGCACCCCGGGCAGCUCGGUGCAGGAGUUCCUGCCUAACCUGGGCAGGCCUUGGGUUUAACAAAGGACACGUUUAAGGUGCUAGUUAGACAUCCCAGUGGAAAUCUUUGAAAGACAUGACUUUGGAGGGACCCAAAUUCUGACUGGUACUCAGAGCCAGAUUCCCAAACUGUGUAGAGACUAGCUUUUUAGAAAACUUGAAAUCUGGGCCCCGUGGUGCACACCUGUAAUCCCACUGGCUGGGGAGGCUGAGGCAGGAGGAUGGCAAGUUCAAAGUCAGUUUAAGCAGGCGUGCGGGCGGCUGCGUCGGGCUGCAGGAGAAGAUGGCGGUCUCCACAGACAAAUUAUGAAAACAGAAUAUAUAGCCUGAAAGUAGAAUGUGGACCUAAAUACCCAGAAGCUCCUCCAUCCGUUAGAUUUGUAACAAAAAUUAAUAUGAAUGGAAUAAAUAAUUCCAGUGGAAUGGUGGAUGCACGAAGCAUACCAGUGUUAGCAAAAUGGCAAAAUUCAUAUAGCAUUAAAGUUGUACUUCAAGAGCUAAGACGUCUAAUGAUGUCCAAAGAAAAUACGAAGCUUCCACAGCCACCAGAAGGACAAACGUACAACAAUUAAUUUUAGUGAAUCUCAAACUUGUCUUAAAUCAACAACCUUCUACUCAUAUUAAUGUCUUGAUUAAAUAUCACAAUGCAAAAUUACCCACACAUUAAGUAAAAGAAUUCCAGCUGGUAAAACAUGACCCGGACAUUUGUAAGGAUAUAUUUAAUAUACGUACACCCAUUAUGUUUUCAGGUAACAGGAGGAAAAAUGCAGCACAAUUUUUCUUUCUUUUGUUAAGGCACUGUCAUUUAAACAUGAACCUGGAGUACUCGAAAUAGAAUUCAGGUUUACAAGAGGAAAGCAUGGCAAGAAGUGUCAGAUGCAUUGGAAACUUGCGUGUUUCUGAAAAGUAAAAUCUCAAGAAAGACAAACAGAAAUGGCAUGCUUUGUCCAUCUCGAUUAGUGAAAGAGCUGCAGUUGAAAUUGUUUAAGUAGCAGGUACAAUGAAUAUUGUCACAAAUUGUGGUAAUUUUUGAAUCGGUGUGGGUGCUGACUACUAGUAGUAUCAAAAAUAUGUUCAGGAUUGUUUUGAUACCUGUAUUUAUAAUAAAAAAUGUUGGGGGGGGGUCGAUGGAUUUCUGUUAAAAGCUGUUCCUGUGUGUUACAUGUAACAUGGUAAAUAUUUGUUUACAGUCUUUGUUUAAUAAACCAUGCAUUUAAGUUUAAGUGAAGUCAACAAAAAGGAAAUAGGUGUAUGGAUAUGUGAUUUUGAGAUUAAAGUUAGUCUUAAAAUGUAAAUAAAAUGUGGAACGUGUCCUCAAAAAACAAAAAAGUCAGUUUAAGCAACUAAAAAGGGCUGG
rnacentral:lncRNA from 1 species